rnacentral:rRNA from 1 species
AGAGUUUGAUCCUGGCUCAGAACGAACGUUAGCGGCGCGCCUAACACAUGCAAGUCGCACGAGAAAGGGCUUCGGCCCCGGUACAGUGGCGCACGGGUGAGUAACACGUGGGUAAUCUGCCUUCGAGUGGGGGAUAACAUUCCGAAAGGAGUGCUAAUACCGCAUAAGACCACGGCCUCGAAAGAGGCAGCGGUCAAAGCUGGCCUCUAUACAUAAGCUAGCGCUUGAGGAUGAGCCCGCGGAGCAUCAGCUAGUUGGUGAGGUAAUGGCUCACCAAGGCUUAGACGCUUAGCUGGUCUGAGAGGAUGAUCAGCCACACUGGAACUGAGACACGGUCCAGACUCCUACGGGAGGCAGCAGUGGGGAAUCUUGCGCAAUGGGCGAAAGCCUGACGCAGCGACGCCGCGUGAGUGAUGAAGGCCUUCGGGUUGUAAAGCUCUGUGGGGAGAGAAGAAUAAGUGCGGGCUAAUACUCCGCAUGAUGACGGUAUCUCCUUAGCAAGCACCGGCUAACUCUGUGCCAGCAGCCGCGGUAAGACAGAGGGUGCAAACGUUGUUCGGAAUUACUGGGCGUAAAGCGAGUGUAGGCGGUUUGGAUAGUCGGAUGUGAAAGCCCCGGGCUCAACCCGGGAAGUGCAUUCGAUACUCCCAAGCUAGAGUAUCGGAGAGGUUGGUGGAAUUCUCGGUGUAGAGGUGAAAUUCGUAGAUAUCGAGAGGAACACCGGUGGCGAAGGCGGCCAACUGGACGAAUACUGACGCUGAGACUCGAAAGCGUGGGGAGCAAACAGGAUUAGAUACCCCCGUAGUCC